CCACAUGCAAGUCGAACGAUGAAGCCGCUUCGGUGGUGGAUUAGUGGCGAACGGGUGAGUAACACGUGGGCAAUCUGCCCUUCACUCUGGGACAAGCCCUGGAAACGGGGUCUAAUACCGGAUAACACUCUGUCCCGCAUGGGACGGGGUUAAAAGCUCCGGCGGUGAAGGAUGAGCCCGCGGCCUAUCAGCUUGUUGGUGGGGUAAUGGCCUACCAAGGCGACGACGGGUAGCCGGCCUGAGAGGGCGACCGGCCACACUGGGACUGAGACACGGCCCAGACUCCUACGGGAGGCAGCAGUGGGGAAUAUUGCACAAUGGGCGAAAGCCUGAUGCAGCGACGCCGCGUGAGGGAUGACGGCCUUCGGGUUGUAAACCUCUUUCAGCAGGGAAGAAGCGAAAGUGACGGUACCUGCAGAAGAAGCGCCGGCUAACUACGUGCCAGCAGCCG
rnacentral:rRNA from 1 species